rnacentral:rRNA from 1 species
AGCGAACGCUGGCGGCAGGCUUAACACAUGCAAGUCGAGCGGGCACUUUCGGGUGUCAGCGGCGGACGGGUGAGUAACGCGUGGGAACGUGCCCUCUGGUUCGGAAUAACUCAGGGAAACUUGAGCUAAUACCGGAUACGCCCUUUUGGGGAAAGGCUUGCUGCCGGAGGAUCGGCCCGCGUCUGAUUAGCUAGUUGGUGAGGUAACGGCUCACCAAGGCGACGAUCAGUAGCUGGUCUGAGAGGAUGAUCAGCCACACUGGGACUGAGACACGGCCCAGACUCCUACGGGAGGCAGCAGUGGGGAAUAUUGGACAAUGGGCGCAAGCCUGAUCCAGCCAUGCCGCGUGAGUGAUGAAGGCCUUAGGGUUGUAAAGCUCUUUUAUCCGGGACGAUAAUGUCGGUACCGGAGGAAUAAACCCCGGCUAACUUCGU